rnacentral:rRNA from 1 species
UACGUAGGUGGCAAGCGUUGUCCGGAAUUAUUGGGCGUAAAGCGCGCGCAGGCGGUCCCUUAAGUCUGAUGUGAAAGCCCACGGCUCAACCGUGGAGGGUCAUUGGAAACUGGGGGACUUGAGUACAGAAGAGGAAAGCGGAAUUCCACGUGUAGCGGUGAAAUGCGUAGAGAUGUGGAGGAACACCAGUGGCGAAGGCGGCUUUCUGGUCUGUAACUGACGCUGAGGAGCGAAAGCGUGGGGAGCGAACAGG